rnacentral:rRNA from 1 species
UACGUAGGGUGCUAGCGUUGUUCGGAAUCAUUGGGCGUAAAGCGCGUGUAGGCGGUCAAUUAAGUCGGGUGUGAAAGCCCUCGGCUCAACCGAGGAAGUGCAUCCGAAACUAAUUGGCUAGAAGAUGGUAGAGGGAGGUGGAAUUCCUAGUGUAGAGGUGAAAUUCGUAGAUAUUAGGAGGAAUACCGGUGGCGAAGGCGGCCUCCUGGGCCAUUCUUGACGCUGAGACGCGAAAGCGUGGGUAGCAAAC